rnacentral:rRNA from 1 species
UAAGCAUAUCAGUAAGCGGAGGAAAAGAAACUAACAAGGAUUCCCUUAGUAACGGCGAGUGAAGCGGGAAGAGCCCAGCACCGAAUCCUCCGGUUCUGCGCCGGCAGGAAUUGUGGUGUUUGGGACGCCGACCGGCGCUGUGUCCCUGUGCCCAAGUCCUUCUGAUCGGGGCCUUUCCCAUAGUGGGUGUCAGGCCUUUAGCGGCACGGGACUAGGCGCCCACGAGCGUCCUUGGAGUCGGGUUGUUUGGGAAUGCAGCCCUAAGUGGGUGGUAAACUCCAUCUAAGGCUAAAUACUGGCACGAGUCCGAUAGCGAACAAGUACCGUGAGGG